rnacentral:rRNA from 1 species
UACGUAGGGGGCAAGCGUUGUCCGGAUUUAUUGGGCGUAAAGAGCGUGUAGGCGGUCAGGUAGGUGGGUUGUGAAAACUGGAGGCUCAACCUUCAGACGUCGACCCAAACCCCCUGGCUAGAGUCCGGAAGAGGAGAGUGGAAUUCCUGGUGUAGCGGUGAAAUGCGUAGAUAUCUGGAGGAACACCGGUGGCGAAGGCGGCAUCCUGGACCAAUACUGACGCUGAGGAGCGAAAGCCAGGGGAGCAAACGGG